rnacentral:lncRNA from 1 species
CAUAUAAAAAUUUAUAAUAAAUUGAUUAUAUGAACUUAUAAGAGAUUAAAGAAUCAAAUCCAUCUAUAAUUCUUUUUGCAUAUCCAGCCCGAGCUUCCUAAGCUCCUCAAUGUCCUUGAUCACUGUCAUACAAUGCUUAUGGACAAACUGCCCUUCGCGUAUCUUCAAAUUGAAGAGUCACUUGGAUACUUCGAAGCACACUGUAUGGCUCUGCUCACCAUACAAUUUUUGCAGGUGAGUUAUCAUAACCCUGGCAGUGGGCAUAUGCUCAUGCUGGCUUUGCAACUCGUUUGACAUAGAAGUCAGCACAUAGCAUUUGAUCCGACUGUCUUCAUCCAUCCACU